AUAGAUAGUAAUAUGAGAAAACAGAUAAUAAACUAUAGAGAGAUAUUAUAGAAAUCGAAUCAGAGAGGAGAAUAAAGAAGAAAAGAAAAGGAAAGGGUGCCGGAGAAAGCUCAGUGGGCAGCCACGGAGAAGGAAAAGACCACAUCGACAGUACCGAAAGAAAAAUAAAUAAUUUGGAAAGUAACCAAGGUAUCAAGUAUCAGGUUGGGUUGCUACUGCCAAGUCCAGAAUCUUGAGUGGGAAUGGGGAAAGGAAUAAUGGAACAUUUUUUUGUUUGAGAUGUAAAUAUUGUAGUAGUAUUUAAAAGUGUAACUUGUCGUUAACGAUUUAGUUUGUCAGAAUUUUCGUAACAGGCCUAUAAUUUGUUUUUAGAUUAUAAAUUGUUAAGUAGGUACUCUGAUAUAUGAUGAUGUCAUGUUUAAUGAGGUCAAUGUAGAUGGUUAGAUAAAUUCCAAUUUGUUCAAUUUAUUAAAUAGUGUAAAUUGGGUUAGGGUGUGUCAACUUUUGGUAUUAGAGCCUAGGUUUUCUAGGUUCUGGAGGUAGUAAGAGUCUAGACUGGCAGUGGCAAUAGGAAGUGUGUAGUAAAGUCAUUUCUUUGACUUGAUUUUAUACUAACAAAUAUAUGUGGUGAGUAUGUAUCAUAUAUAUAUGUUAUUAUAUUUGAGAUUUAUUGCAGAUAAAAAGUAAUGGAAGGAAGAAAUGGUUAUCAUAGAAUCGAGGAAGAAGCCUCUUAUGUUCCUGUUGAGGUUAAAGUGGAACAACCUAUUCAGGGUGGUAUGAGAAGAGAACAUGAGUACUUAAUUGGUAUGCAAAAAAUGGAGAAGACUAUAACCGACUUGGCUGAACAAAACAAAUAAUUUAUGGCAAGUCAAAUGAUGAUACAAGAAAGGUUGGAAAGACAACAGAAAGGAAAGAAAGGCUCAGAUUAUGAGAGGUUUAUCAAGUUAACACCCCUAGAAUUUUCAAGUUCUACCAAACCAGAAGAAGUAGAGGGGUGGGUAAGGAGAAUGGAAUCGAUAUUUGCAGUGAUGGGUGCAGCAGAAGACCAGAAGGUAAACUUAGCUACAUUUAUGUUAAAAAAUGAAGCUAGUUAUUGGUGGGACACGACAAAACAUUUAUUGCUCAUUCCAGGAGAGAAAGAGGUGAUAUUAUGGAACCCAUUUGUUAAAGCAUUUUAUUAGAAAUAUUUUCCUCCAAUUUACAGAAAAGAGAAGGAACGGAAGUUUAUUCUCCUAAAAUAAGAUAGAAUGUCUGUAGUUGAUUAUGAAAUUAAGUUUACAGCUUUAUCGAGGUUUGCACCCAAGUUUGUACAGAAUGAAGAAGAUAAAUGUACAAAAUGAAGAAGAUAAAUGUACAAAAUUUCAUAAUAGUUUAGAGGCGGAUAUUAAGUCCAGAGUUUCAGUGUUUGAGGAAACAGAUUACAACAGACUUGUGAAUAAAGCCAUGAUUGCCGAAAGGGAUGUGAAAGAAUUGCAAGAAAAAUGGGAACAAUACAAAAUAAAUAAAUCUGAGCCAUCAUAAUCAAGAGGAGGUGAAGGAAUUUCAAGUCAGAAAAGUCAAAGGUCGCGGUAUGGAAGGGGAAGGGGUAGUGAAUCUCAAGGGCAGACAUCAGGUAGUAGAAGAGGUCAAGGGCUUUCUGAACAACAAUCUAUACAACAAGGUAGCUUUGGAGGACGUGGUAUUGGCAGAGGAUGUUUUCAGUGUGGAAGGGAAGGUCACCAGAAGAAAGAUUGUCCUGCGUUGAAAGCAGAAGAAUGCUAUCAUUGCCAUCAGCCGGGUCAUCGGAAGAGAGAUUGUCCUAUGUUGACAGGAGUGACCUCAGUGGGUAGUGUUACUGGUUCUGGUAAAGGUUUUGCACAGGGGAGCUAGUUAAAAGGAGGUAGGGGAGCUACAAGUGGUUCACAAGCCCAGGGAAGAGUUUUUGCUAUGACACUUCAGGAUGCUUGUAAUACCCCUAGUUUUCAAAAGGAUAAAAUGGGAAUUUAAAUUUAAUUUCUGGUGCAUUUUUAUUUAUGUAACUUAUGUGUUUA